CACAGCUGUGAUCCCCCGGGCUUCCCCUGAGGGAUGUGCCUUCCUCCCGCGGGCGCCCACGCCCCGCCCCCGGGGAAUCCUACAGGCACCUCACGCCCCAGCCCCACGGAUUCUCCCACGGGUAUCCCCCCGCCCCCGCGGGUAUCCACGCCCCGCCCCCGCGGGCACCCACGCUCCGCCCCAGCGUGGGGGGAAUCCUUCCGCGUGGGUGGGUGGGGCAAAAUUGAACCCGAGGGGCGCUGGAAGGUUAAAAAGAAAAAGCGUUUAAGCCGUCCUGGGAGUUUGUCCCCAUUUUGGGCCGCAUAUCUAGUGUGACUGAAGCCAAAGAGGAGCUAGGCUGUGAUCUAGGGCCGAGGGACGGGGAGGUGACUCCUUGCUGGUGGGCAGGGGACGCAGUCCAGCUGGGGACGAUGACCGGUCCCAGCGCGCUGCGAACUCAGGCACACAGAAAUGUAGACGUAAUAAUAUGUCUAAAUAAUAUAAAACAUGCUCAGAUAGAAGUAUAAUAGUCGGAAGGGAGGGCGCUAUGGAUUCGGGGACUACGAAAGGUCAUAAGCAGGAUGUCGGAGCAGGUGAAAGGCCAUCCUGUCUCUUUCUUCCCUAAUCCCCCGAUUGGGCGCUGCCUCGGGCAAACUGAGUCCUGGCGAAAACCUUAGCUUAAAAAGGCUCUGGAGCAGAAAGGGAGCCGGGGCCUUUGACCAGUCCUCUCUCACUUCAACUGACUUGCAGAUCAUGGCUUCACCUCGUGGAAUUCUGGGAGAUGGAAGGGCAAACAGCCGCAAAAGAGCACGUCUCAGAAGUAGGGAAAAACUGCCCUCUAGACACUUUUAAAUUUAAAUUUUAUCAAGUCAAGACGCUUGGAUUGCAGGAAAAAAGGGUCAAAAGUUGCCCAGGCUAUAGCAUUACCUUGUGUGGUUUUUAGCUGGCUUGCGUGCUGCAGGAAAUGUUAGUUUUACGGAAUGCACAGAUUUGCAAAUUAAACAGAAAAAGGCUAGAGCUCCCUUUUGGGUUGUUUGACAGCAAAUUCAACAAAUAUUUAUUACGUGUAAGGCAUUAGGGGCACAAAAGACAAAAGCAGAAAAAUCCCUGUUCUCAGGAACAGACAUUUAUUGACAUUGAGCCCAACCCAGAAACAUUUGAUCCUGUGACAAAGGUCCAUUCUGCAAAUGGGGAAAGUGAAGUUGAUAAAGAUUAAGUGGCUUAUUCCAGUUCAUUCUGCUCAUAAGUAUCAGAGACAGAAUUCACACCAAAGUCUGUUCUUAUCUCAGACCAGAGCUCUUUUCUCUCCUUGCUUAGAAAGUCUCUCAAAUGCUGACAUUUGACUGCAUGAGCACAUUCAAGUUCAGUACAGGGGAGGUGGAAACUGGGCACAGCAUAAUAACAAAGAGCUAAAAAAGGUAGGGCCGAAACAGGGCGUAGCAUGAAAGAUAAAAGCUUUAGGAACAUUGGAGGAAGAAUAGAGAGCAAAUAGUUGGAGAUGUCAGGCAAGGCCAGAUGUUUACUGGAGCUGUUCUGAGAAAACAGAGAAGGAAACACUGCCUGCUUUGUGCUAAAUACUAAAUCUUUUAUAAUGAUCUCAUUUGAUCUUCAUAAAAACUCUGGAAGAGAAAUGGAAUGUAUGGAUGAGGAAACUGAGGCAGACAAAAGUUAAGGUCGUCUAGUUCUCUGAGGACGGAUUUAAAGACUUCAGAUCUUCCUCACUCUGGAUUCAAUGUCCUAUUGACUGUAACACCUAGAAUGAAAGAGUUCAUUCUAGAUAGCUUUUUCAAACGCAUAGAAGUGAGAGAGAGAUGAGGAUCUAGAUCAAGUUCUAAGAACAUGGAGUCAUAGAAUCCAUAGAAUGUAGUAAUAGAACCAAAUUAUAGGGAAAAUGUAAGCCAGAAUGUGAACUUGAAGACCAGGUUAAGGUGUUUUUAAAAUUUAUUAUUAUUCUGGAGGUGAUAGGAAACCACUCCCAAGUUUUUGAACAAGGGAGUGUUAUAUUUAGACUUAGGCAUAUAAAGACAUGUUCAGACUUUUAAGCAAGGGAGUGACCUGUUCAAAAUUAUAUUUUAGGAGGAUGAUUUUGGCAUAUAUGUGGUGGAUAAAUUGGAAAAGAGGAGGGGGGUGAUGUUUGAAAACACAGGAUUCAAUUAGGAUGCUGUUUAGAUGGUCCAGGGCUGAAAUGAUGAGGUCUGAACAAGGGUGAUGGUUUUAUGAUUAGGAAGAAGGUCGUAGGUACAAGAAAGGUUGUUAAGGUACAUUCAACAAACUUGACAAUUGAUUAGCAAUGGAAGGUAGAGGAAAGGAAGAGUUAAGGAUGUUUUUGAAGUUGUCACCUUGGGUGACCAAGAGGAUGGUAGUGUCCCCAAAAAAGAUGUAGAUAAUGCUUACAGGCAAAAACAAGUUCCAUUGGAGACAUACAGUUUGAAGCAUCAGUGAAAUAUGCAGGUAGAAUUGUCCUGUAGGCAGGUAGGGACAGGACUGUUGUUUGAGAAAGAGAUUAGAGUGGAUUAUAGAUUUUAAUAGAAUUCAGCCUACAAGGGCAGAUAAAAAUCACCAAAGAAGAGUUUAAGCAGAGAAAAGGGGAUCCAAUUCAGGGAAAAGCAUGUGUCAUAAGAUCUCUCUUUGCCUGAGUUCAUUGUAUCCUACAUAUCUUAGGAUGUUAGAUUCAAAAUGUCAGAUUCAAAAUUCUUUAGUCUUCUCCAAAUUUCUAGUGAAUUGAAGGUCAGAAAUGAACUCUGUCAUAUUGUCUGUACUUCUUUGUUCACAGGGACUAAGAAAACAGAUCAUGAAUUACUCCUGGGUUCCUAGUAGCUUAUAUACUGCCUAGAAACUGAUUGGACAUAGCAGAGGCUAUGGACAUGCAAUUAAUUGGAUGAGAGACUUGAUGAUUUUUAUAUGAAGGAACUAGCGAGAAGGAGAACUUUUGUUUGAGCAAAGUUGACUCUACAACAGGGCAUAGCCUCCAGAGUGAAAGUUAUCUUUGGCAAGAAAAAGGAUCAUUUUAUCCUGAAGCUGGAGAGAAGAAAGAAAACCUGAGUGAAGAUAUAGUAUUAGAAAAAUGGAGAAAAGGACUUGAGGGCAUGUGAGUCGAGUGAAUUGGUCUUCCCACCAUUUUGGAGAGUAGGAAGUGAGUCAAGAAGAGAAGAAUCAAAAAGACUCUGCCUCCUGAUGCCCUGGAUACUGAAAGAGGGAAGAGUUGAAGGUCCAAAGAGGAAGAUUUCAACUUCAUGUCAAGAAGACCUUUCUAAACAGUAGUGGAAUGUACUGUAUUAACAUUCCUGGCCAACUCCUGGAUGUCUAAGAAGGACAUUAUAUAGAAAGGAUUCCUAAAAUAAGAAGGAUAUUGGACUAGAUUACCUAUAAAGUGCACUCCAACUCUUAGACUCUAUGAUUGCAUGAACCAUUUGUUUAGGUUCAUAUAGCAUUUUUUUUUAAGUUUUCUGCCCUCUCCAGUACAUAAAUGGUCAAUUGGUGAUGGUUUUCCUUCUAUACUAACUAUACUUUUCUGUUCCAUUUCUGAAACACUGACCCCAUGAAUAUAGUUCUGAGUCAUGGUAUUUUGAGCUGGAAAGCACUCUCAAAAUCAUAUAUUCCAAUCCCCUCAUUUUAAAACGAGAAAAUUGAGACCCUAAGAAAUUCAUCAAUUUGUCUACAUCAAUAGAUAGUAAGUACAUGGCAGAGGCAGGGUUUGAACCUAGGUUUUCUCACCCCCAAAUCCAGUGCUUUUGGUACUAGGCUGGCUUAUUUCACAAGAUCCUAGGAUCUAGACCAGAAAGGGACCUUGGAGUUCAUCUGAUUCCAACCAGAUCACAUGAGAACACUAAAACCUACAGUAAUUGAGUAACUUGGCUAUAAUAUAGCUGCUAUUUAAAGUCAGGCUCUUUGAUUCCAGAACUAAUGGCCUUUCCAUCACAUUAUACUCUCAUCUCUCAUGGCCUUUUUAUAGCUAUGUUUAAGUUAGUAAAUUAGUCGUGUGUUGUUUUUUUCCUCAGCAGAUCAAAAGUUUCCACUCCUGAUAAAUAAUACAAAUGAGACAGCUUUUCACUAUGGGUAAAUUGUCAAGUGGGUCACAUGCACAUGGUAUGGAUACCAGAGACAAUGUACAGCAAUGGUGAUAAGGGCUCCUGGCUAUAAGAAGAGGCAGGAUGUCAUUAUGUGAAUUAAGCUGAUGCACAGGUGACUGCCCUUCCAGCAGGAAAAAAAAAAGUCAGGGGUCAGGAAACAUGUGGGCUCUGCUGAGGACAGAGAAAGUGGUGAAUGAAGAACACUCUUCCUGAUAGUCCUUGCAGCCAAGAGGAAGGGUAAGGGCGAAAUCAACUGACUUUCCCCUCAUUUGUGCAUCAGCAGCAAGCGGUAACCUCCUGCCCCUUAUCUCUGGGUCCCGAACACAAAGACCAUGUGUUCAUCCGGCUGGGCUGGGGAGGCUUCAAACAGGGUUGAGUGAAAAGAAAUUCAAUUUCCCAGUUUGGAGUCCCCAACUCUUGCUCAGAACUGGCAGAGUCCAUUCAUUCUUGAUAACCAGUGACUAUCCUAUCAAUACACAUUCCCACUUGGCAUCAGGUAACAUGGGACCUGUUGGCCCAGCAUAUGCUUUAAUA